UACAGGGGGGGCAAGCGUUGUUCGGAAUUACUGGGCGUAAAGGGCUCGUAGGCGGCCAACUAAGUCGGACGUGAAAUCCCUCGGCUUAACCGGGGAACUGCGUCCGAUACUGGAUGGCUUGAGUUCGGGAGAGGGAUGCGGAAUUCCAGGUGUAGCGGUGAAAUGCGUAGAUAUCUGGAGGAACACCAGAGGCGAAGGCGGCUACCUGGACAAUUGCUGACGCUCAGGCACGAAAGCGUGGGGAGCAAAAGGG
rnacentral:rRNA from 1 species